CCUACGGGAGACAGCAGUGAGGAAUAUUGGUCAUUGGACCAGAGUCUGAACAAGCCAAGUAGCGUGAAGGAUGACUGCCCUCUGGGUUGUAAACUUCUUUUAUAUGGGAAUAAAACGUUCCACGUGUGGGAUUUUGUAUGUACCAUAUGAAUAAGGAUCGGCUAACUCCGUGCCAGCAGCCGCGGUAAUCCGGAGGAUCCGAGCGUUAUCCGGAUUUAUUGGGUUUAAAGGGAGCGUAGGUGGAUUGUUAAGUCAGUUGUGAAAGUUUGCGGCUCAACCGUAAAAUUGCAGUUGAAACUGGCAGUCUGGAGUACAGUAGAGGUGGGCGGAAUUCGUGGUGUAGCGGUGAAAUGCUUAGAUAUCACGAAGAACUCCGAUUGCGAAGGCAGUUCACUGGACUGCAACUGACACUGAGGCUCGAAAGUGUGGGUAUCAAACAGGAUUAGAUACCCUUGUAGUC
rnacentral:rRNA from 1 species